GGGCCCGUAGUCUAGCGGCUAUGACGUCACCUUGACGUGGUGAAGGUCCCCAGAAAAUCCUGAUGGUUUGGGGUAUUCGAAUCAUGGCGGAAGUCUGGGCGGGCCCA
rnacentral:tRNA from 1 species